rnacentral:lncRNA from 1 species
AAAGCGGUAUGAUACUAUAUUAAUAUUGCCUAAGGAUGGCUUCCCAAGAGGAGAGGUGAAUUAGGUAUUUAAAAUUUAAACUUUAAUUAUGCUGAAUUUACUAUAAGGUGCUUAGUGGAAUAAGUUAAAACAUAAGUAAUGAAUAAGAACAAUGAAGAAAAGAUUAUACAAUCACAAACACAAUGCUUUUAUAGUGGUUCAGUGCCAAACUCGGUAUCUAUGUUCACUCCCUAAGUAAAUCACUUAAGAAUUCAACUAUAAUCAUUUAAUUGA